AAUGACCGAAGCUUCAAGACUUUGACAUGUGUGAAAACAUGAAAUGGUAAGUCAAUACAAAGACAGCAUCUUCCUGGAAUUUGGUUUUGAGCUUGUUUUCAUUUCACCUUUCUCAGUAAUCUGGGUGUAGCUUAUUUUGACUCUUCCUUUGAUUAAACAAUUCAGACCCUUGGCUCUUAUUGUUCUUGCUGGUGUGGUAUGUUCACGGCUGAAAAGAUGGUCAGAAGGGGAAAGGAGGAAGUGAGAAGAAAGAAACAGGGAAAUGGCUGAGGAAUUACCAAGGAGGCAGGAGGUGGAGCAAAACACACCAAGCCUGGUGCCAAUCAUUGACAAUAUUAUGGUUAGUACUUACUGAGGGCUGACUAUGGUUGAAACUGCCUUUGCAAAAUUAUGACUGAGACGGUGAAAGAGAUCUAACUUAACCAACGCUAGCUAUCUUGCCUCUAACCUCCAAGCUGUCCUUGUUCAUUCCUGGGCAUAGGCUGAACUAACUUUGGGAGAAAUUUAGUUUAUAGUUUGAAACAAAGAUGAUAACAGCCCUUUGCCAAAGCAGACCUCCUUCUUGUCUGGGGACUAGAUGGCCUUUGUAGGACUAACAUGAGCCACAAGAUUAGAAAUUAUGGAUAGGAGUCAUGCAG
rnacentral:lncRNA from 10 species